rnacentral:lncRNA from 10 species
CCUAGCUGGAUCCUCCAUAAUGGCCUCCCUAACGGCCAUGCAAGUCUGUGCACGGACGGAGGAAAAGACACCACGGGAGCCGGUAAAGUAUAUCCUUGGUGGUCAGGACCAAGGUACCACCCCUAGAAUUUCCGGUAAACCAGCAACAGCCUGAAGAUCACGGUCUCAUCAAAGGGUGGAAAGAAGGAAAACUCCAGCCAGCCUGGGAAGGACCCCACCUUGUGCUGCUAACCACCAAGACUGCUAUUCGUACAGUGAAAAAAGGAUGGACUCAUCACACCCGAGUCAAGAAAGUGCCACCCCCUCCAGAGUCAUAGGCCAUAGUCCUUGGGGAAAACCCUACCAAACUAAAGCAAAGAAAAAUUUAAUUCUUUUCAUCUAUUCUAUUACUCUUUCAUCUUUCCUAGCUUUAUUGCUGACCAUCUAGUUAUUAACAUAACCAAGUCAAUUUUGCCUCAAACUAUUGUAUUUAAUGCUUGCCUUGUUAUACCCUGUGGGGACUUGCCAAGUCAAAGACAGCUCUCUACUUCAGAAAAGUACCUCUGGCCCUCCUUACUCUCCUCAGACUGGGCAUUAGUGAACUGGGACCAUUUAAUCGAGGGAGACUUUGAUAAAGACCCCAUUGUUAACCAGGAUUGUUGCCCCCAAUGUAGAGCUUUUACGCCAUAGUUGAUCCAAUGUUCUGUGGACCACAAAAGAGCAAGGAUGGACUGCCCCAACCAGUUUUUGUAAUUUCCUAAAGCCAUACAUUCAUUUUACUAAAGGAUCAUAGAAGUUAAAGACUUAAAACAAACUUUGGCAAUUAAG